UGUGCCCGGCAAAGGGAUGCGACCAGCUCCUACUGAACUCCCCCAGGCUGGGAACAGAGCAAGGGUAAGUGGUUGAGCGGUGCGACAUCCUGAUGCCUUUU
rfam:Fabibacter sp. 4D4 scaffold1_cov115_read172, whole genome shotgun sequence.